CCUACGGGCGGCAGCAGUGAGGAAUAUUGGUCAAUGGCCGAGAGGCUGAACCAGCCAAGUCGCGUGAGGGAAGACGGCCCUACGGGUUGUAAACCUCUUUUGUCGGGGAGCAAAGCGAGUCACGUGUGACUCAUUGAGAGUACCCGAAGAAAAAGCAUCGGCUAAUUCCGUGCCAGCAGCCGCGGUAAUACGGAGGAUGAGAGCGUUAUCCGGAUUUAUUGGGUUUAAAGGGUGCGCUGGCGGAGGUGCAAGACAGCGGUAAAAUUGCGGGGUUCAACGCCGUACUGUCGUUGGAACUGCGUCCAUUGAGUGCGCGAGAAGUAUGCGGAAUGCGUGGUGUAGCGGUGAAA
rnacentral:rRNA from 1 species